rnacentral:rRNA from 1 species
CCCUUAGAUGUUCUGGGCCGCACGCGCGCUACACUGAUGCAUUCAACGAGUCUAAAACCUGCUCUGAUAGGGGUGGGUAAUCUUUUGAAUGUGCAUCGUGAUUGGGAUAGAUGAUUGCAAUUUUUCAUCUUCAACGAGGAAUGCCUAGUAAACGCAAGUCAUCAGCUUGCAUUGAUUACGUCCCUGCCCUUUGUACACACCGCCCGUCGCUCCUACCGAUUGAAUGAUCCGAUGAAUAUCAUGGAUUGAGGAUGCAAGUAGGUUCGCCUAUCUUCAUCUUCGAGAAGUGAAGUAAAUCUUAUCAUUUAGAAGAAGGAGAAGUCGUAACA